rnacentral:ncRNA from 1 species
ACUUGAACGGUAAGGAAGGAAUAGUAUGUGGUAGAAAUAGGUGGCCAGAGAGAGUGGGUUAUUAGCUGGAAGCCCACUUCACUUAUUGUCACAGAACGCGCCUUCUGAGUCCUGCAUAAAGCAGGCGCUUUGCAUGGCGUUAACGCAACAAGACGGGAUGUAAUCAUCCAAAUUAGGUGGUACCGCGGAAGAAAAGCUCUUUCGUCCUGAGU